UAGGGAAUCUUCGGCAAUGGACGAAAGUCUGACCGAGCAACGCCGCGUGAGUGAAGAAGGCUUUCGGAUCGUAAAACUCUGUUGUUAGAGAAGAACAAGGACGUUAGUAACUGAACGUCCCCUGACGGUAUCUAACCAGAAAGCCACGGCUAACUACGUGCCAGCAGCCGCGGUAAUACGUAGGUGGCAAGCGUUGUCCGGAUUUAUUGGGCGUAAAGCGAGCGCAGGCGGUUUCUUAAGUCUGAUGUGAAAGCCCCCGGCUCAACCGGGGAGGGGCAUUGGAAACUGGGAGACUUGAGUGCAGAAGAGGAGAGUGGAAUUCCAUGUGUGGCGGUGAAAUGCGUAGAUAUAUGGAGGAAAACCAGUGGCGAAGGCGGCUCUCUGGUCUGUAACUGACGCUGAGGCGCGAAAGCAUGGGGAGCAAACAGG
rnacentral:rRNA from 1 species